rnacentral:rRNA from 1 species
GACGAACGCUGGCGGCGUGCCUAAUACAUGCAAGUCGAACGCAGUGGGGACGGGUGAGUAACACGUGGGUAACCUCCCAUCAGAGGGGAUAACACUUGGAAACAGGUGCUAAACCGAUAUUGAUGGCUGGACCCGCGGUGCAUUAGCUAGGUGGUGCGGUAACGGCUCACCAAGGCCACGAUGCAUAGCCGAACGGGUAGGGUGAUCGGCCACACUGGGACGGAGACACGGCCCAGACUCCUACGGGAGGCAGCAGUAGGGAAUCUUCGGCAAUGGACUAAAGUCUGACCGAUCAAUGCCGCGUGAGUGAAGAAGGUUUUCGGAUCGUAAAACUCUGUUGUUAGAGAAGCGGUAGCUAACCAGAAAGCCACGGCUAACUACGUGCCAGCAGCCGCGGUAAUUC